rnacentral:rRNA from 1 species
AACUUGAGAGUUUGAUCAUGGCUCAGAACGUACGCUGGCGGCACGCCUAAUACAUGCAAGUCGAACGAAGUAGCAAUACUUAGUGGCAGACGGGUGAGUAACAUGUAGGUAUCUUCCCAUUGGUGAGGAAUAACACGAGGAAACUUGUGCUAAUACCUCAUAAGUCUUUACGGAGAAAGCUUUAUGCGCCGAUGGAUGAGCCUGCACUUGAUUAGUUUGUUGGUAGGGUAAUGGCCUACCAAGACAAUGAUCAAUAGCUGAUUUGAGAGGAUGAUCAGCCACAUUGGGACUGAGACACGGCCCAAACUCCUACGGGAGGCAGCAGUAGGGAAUCUUGCACAAUGGGGGAAACCCUGAUGCAGCGAUGCCGCGUGAGUGAAGAAGGCCUUUGGGUUGUAAAGCUCUUUCGUCGGGGAAGAAAAUGACUGUACCCGAAUAAGAAGGUCCGGCUAACUUCGUGCCAGCAGCCGCGGUAAUACGAAGGGACCUAGCGUAGUUCGGAAUUACUGGGCUUAAAGAGUUCGUAGGUGGUUAAAAAAGUUGGUGGUGAAAUCCCAGAGCUUAACUCUGGAACUGCCAUCAAAACUUUUUAGCUAGAGUAUGAUAGAGGAAAGCAGAAUUUCUAGUGUAGAGGUGAAAUUCGUAGAUAUUAGAAAGAAUACCAAUUGCGAAGGCAGCUUUCUGGAUCAUUACUGACACUGAGGAACGAAAGCAUGGGUAGCGAAGAGGAUUAGAUACCCUCGUAGUCCAUGCCGUAAACGAUGUGUGUUAGACGUUGGAAAUUUAUUUUCUGUGUCGCAGCGAAAGCAAUAAACACACCGCCUGGGGAGUACGACCGCAAGGUUAAAACUCAAAUGAAUUGACGGGGACCCGCACAAGUAGUGGAGCAUGUGGUUUAAUUCGAAGAUACGCGCAGAACCUUACCAACACUUGACAUGUUCGUCGCGACUUUAAGAGAUUAAAGUUUUCGGUUCGGCCGGACGAAACACAGGUGCUGCAUGGCUGUCGUCAGCUCGUGUCGUGAGAUGUUGGGUUAAGUCCCGCAACGAGCGCAACCCUCACUUUUAGUUGCCAUCAUUUAGUUGGGCACUCUGAAAGAACUGCCAGUGAUAAGCUGGAGGAAGGUGGGGAUGACGUCAAGUCCUCAUGGCCCUUACGUGUUGGGCUACACACGUGCUACAAUGGCAUUUACAAUAGGAAGCAAAACGGCGACGUUAAGCAAAUCCUAAAAAAAUGCCUCAGUUCGGAUUGUACUCUGCAACUCGAGUACAUGAAGCUGGAAUUACUAGUAAUCGCGGAUCAGCGCGCCGCGGUGAAUACGUUCCCGGGUCUUGUACACACCGCCCGUCACACCAUGGGAGUUGGUUCUACCUUAAGGCAAAGCUUAAAACCUUUGACCACGGUAUAGUCAGCGACUGGGGUGAAGUCGUAACAAGGUAGCCGUAGGGGAACCUGCGGCUGGAUUACCUCCUU